ACCCGAUCAGGUGAUCCGGAGUUCAGAGUUCGGUCGGUGAACUUUGAACUCCACCAGCGGCUCUAACACUGAAGGAGUUAAUUCACUGACUCCGCCCCAGAAUCACAGAUUUCCUGCGAAGCGAAGCGACUGAAGCCAAGUCAUGUCAGGACUAUUUACUUUCCACAUGUCUGAGUUAUUUACUGCGCUUGAACCAGUCUGGUUGAGGAUGAAUCGUCAGCCUAACCUCCCCCUCCAGAUCCCUCCUUGGAUUCUUCGAAGAUUCCAGCUCCAAAAAUGAUUAUAGACCGACACUGGCUGUCCUACUCAGAGACUGAAGACUCU